rnacentral:rRNA from 1 species
UAGGGAAUCUUCCACAAUGGACGCAAGUCUGAUGGAGCAACGCCGCGUGAGUGAAGAAGGGUUUCGGCUCGUAAAGCUCUGUUGUUAAAGAAGAACGUGGGUAAGAGUAACUGUUUACCCAGUGACGGUAUUUAACCAGAAAGCCACGGCUAACUACGUGCCA